GUCGAACGGUGAUGAGGAGCUUGCUUCUCUGAUCAGUGGCGAACGGGUGAGUAACACGUGAGCAAUCUGCCCUUGACUCUGGGAUAAGCGUUGGAAACGACGUCUAAUACCGGAUACGACCUUUGGAGGCAUCUCUGGGGGUGGAAAGAAUUUUGGUCAAGGAUGAGCUCGCGGCCUAUCAGCUAGUUGGUGAGGUAAUGGCUCACCAAGGCGACGACGGGUAGCCGGCCUGAGAGGGUGACCGGCCACACUGGGACUGAGACACGGCCCAGACUCCUACGGGAGGCAGCAGUGGGGAAUAUUGCACAAUGGGCGAAAGCCUGAUGCAGCAACGCCGCGUGAGGGACGACGGCCUUCGGGUUGUAAACCUCUUUUAGUAGGGAAGAAGCGAAAGUGACGGUACCUGCAGAAAAAGCACCGGCUAACUACGUGCCAGCAGCCGCGGUAAUACGUAGGGUGCAAGCGUUGUCCGGAAUUAUUGGGCGUAAAGAGCUCGUAGGCGGUUUGUCGCGUCUGCUGUGAAAACCCGAGGCUCAACCUCGGGCCUGCAGUGGGUACGGGCAGACUAGAGUGCGGUAGGGGAGAUUGGAAUUCCUGGUGUAGCGGUGGAAUGCGCAGAUAUCAGGAGGAACACCAAUGGCGAAGGCAGAUCUCUGGGCCGUAACUGACGCUGAGGAGCGAAAGCAUGGGGAGCGAACAGGAUUAGAUACCCUGGUAGUCCAUGCCGUAAACGUUGGGAACUAGAUGUGGGGACCAUUCCACGGUCUCCGUGUCGCAGCUAACGCAUUAAGUUCUCCGCCUGGGGAGUACGGCCGCAAGGCUAAAACUCAAAGGAAUUGACGGGGGCCCGCACAAGCGGCGGAGCAUGCGGAUUAAUUCGAUGCAACGCGAAGAACCUUACCAAGGCUUGACAUAUAGAGGAAACGUCUGGAAACAGUCGCCCCGCAAGGUCUCUAUACAGGUGGUGCAUGGUUGUCGUCAGCUCGUGUCGUGAGAUGUUGGGUUAAGUCCCGCAACGAGCGCAACCCUCGUCCUAUGUUGCCAGCACGUAAUGGUGGGAACUCAUGGGAUACUGCCGGGGUCACUCGGAGGAAGGUGGGGAUGACGUCAAAUCAUCAUGCCCCUUAUGUCUUGGGCUUCAGCAUGCUACAUGGCCGGUACAAAGGCUGCA
rnacentral:rRNA from 1 species